AUUUACUAAAUGCAACUAUCUUGGAACAGUGACAUAAUCUACAUAAAAAUUCACGCUGUUACUUCCGUAUGGCAAAACCUAGAAUACAUUAUUAAUGACAAGACAUCAAGAAAUAAUAUUAUUCAAAUUAACAAGGUGCUAACAAACUAAAACAUCUUAAGAAUUGGGAUAUAUGACAAGCAGGAGCUGUAUGACGACCUGGUGAAGAGAGGAGGGAGGUGGUCGCCGCUGCCUGGAACCCGCGCUGACACCACCUCCAGCCAUGUGCUGGGCUCCUCUCACCCAGCUUCGCACUCUUAUCACCAGCCUCAGUCCCAGCUGGCUCUCACUUCUGGGCAUGAUGGCCCAUCUCCCCACCUCUGCAGCCUCCAGAAUCCUCGCCUGCGUCAGCGGUACCAAGAGGAGGAGGAGGAGAGAGCGUCCACAAGCACUGCAUCGCGACCCCAGGCACCUACAUCCCCUCGGCAUCCACAUCACCGACAGCAGGAGCACCAAGUAACCCAGGAGGUCUCCGGAAUACACGGUAAUAGUGCGUCAAGGGUACACCAGGAACCCGCACUCUCUAACAGAAGAGUAGGACCGUAUCAGCUCCGGUCUAGACGAAGUCCUUUGAAGAGUAUCCAGCCACAACUGUCAAGGAACACGAGUGAAGAAUUCAGCUUCAAUCCCGCUAUAUUUUCUUGUCGAGGUCAUGCCGAAAAUGAGGACCAAAAUGGAACCGAUCACCCUGCUCCAGUCUAAGAUUCACCACUGAACAGUCAUGAUCGAGGUCGUCGUAAUCAGCAUCACCAGCCAGUUAGCUUCAUCCCCAGCCAGUCACUUAUCACCACUUACAUGGUUACUGCUGUCACCAGUUACAAGGUUACUGCUAUCACCAGUUACAAGGUUACCCUUAGCUCGAGUCACCCGAUAAAGCUUAUCGUGAACUAAGGAUGGUAUUGCCAUCAGUCAUGAAGCAACCCGGUCUCAGACCAAGUCCAUUCCAUCCAGCGGUCGACUCCAAAGACGCAUUCAUAAAUUUUAACAUGCUGUUCAUUCAA